ACUCACUGGAGGCCCGAACCAGGGCACGUUGAAAAGUGCUUGGAUGACUUGUGGGUAGC
rnacentral:rRNA from 1 species